UACGGAGGGUGCAAGCGUUAUCCGGAUUCACUGGGUUUAAAGGGUGCGUAGGUGGGUCUGUAAGUCAGUGGUGAAAUCUUCGAGCUUAACUCGGAAACUGCCAUUGAUACUAUAGAUCUUGAAUUUUCUGGAGGUAAGCGGAAUAUGUCAUGUAGCGGUGAAAUGCUUAGAUAUGACAUAGAACACCAAUUGCGAAAGGCAGCUUACUACGGGAACAUUGACACUGAGGCACGAAAGCGUGGGGAUCAAACAGG
rnacentral:rRNA from 1 species